GAAAACGGUAAAGGAAACCAGGCCAUCAAACAACACAUCAACACAUCAAAGCUGUAACAGGAAGCCCAAGUUCAAAGCCCAAGAGAAGGUAUGAAUACUCCUCACUCUCAACUCCAUGUGGUCAGCUGCCCAGACUCACCCAUGUGCUUCUGCUUCAUCAAUAAAUGGACCCUCUUUCCAA